CUCAGUUAAUGAUAGGUCAACUCUCCGAUGCACUGGGGAGGGACGUCCAGCCCCUGCUGCCAGCACCCCUCCCCCCAGAAACACCUCUGGGCUUCCCAAUUCUCGCUGCUCCCCCCUCCCCCAGCAGCAAGGGACCCAGGCGUCCGACCUGGUUGAGAGGGGAUGGAGAUGAGGAGGCGUAUGAAGAAUGGGGGUGUAGAGUGAGGGGGAGGGGAGCUGGGGGUUAGCUCGGAGCUUGGGCCGUCAGGAUGAGAGGGUCGGGCUUUAAAAAAAAAAAAAAGGUGAGGAGACAAUUUGGUUCUCGUGUCGCUGGGUAAAGUGCGGAGCUGGAAGAGAGAAGGAGGGAGGAGGGAGGGAGGGGGAGGGGAGCUGCUGAGGGAUGGGGGAGCCUCCGAGGGGAGAGGGAUGAGGGGGGAAGGGAAGCGGUUGGGGAGCGGGGUCUGAGUGGCAGAAGGAAGCUGAGGAAGAAGAGAGAUAGAUCCGGAGAGGGAGGGAGACGGAGAGAGACAAGGAGAUCGGAAAGAGAGAGAGACCCAGAGACUGAGAACAGAGGUGGGGGAGGGAAGAAUUUGGGGGAGGCAAUGACUGGUAGCAGAAGGAAGUUGAGGAGACACACACAGAGAGAAAUAUCCAGAGAGAGAAGGGACAGAAGCAGGAAGAGAGACAGAGAACAGCAAGAGAUGAGGGAGAAAUAGAGGGUUUAACCCUGAUGGAAAAGGAGGAUGCCGUUCGGUUCCCAUCAAGACAAGAAUCGGGUUGGGGAGCAAAGAGGAGAGAUAAAUGUAUCUAGGACUGUGCUGGAGAGCUAGGCAACAGUUGCGAGCAUUGCUGUCACUUCUAGAACUAACCAAAUCCUUGGGAAGUGGGCAAGCUAAGAUUCUGAGAUGUGAGGCCAUUCAUUCACGAUCACGCAGGGGAUACAGGCGGAGCUGGGAUAAAACAGCCUUUUUGUGGAGAGAGGCCAGCAAUGGAUAGAAAAGGAAACCAAAGCCUCGGAAAUUAAAAAGACUUGCUCAAGGUCACAGCAUGAGUUUGCAUAAAAUCCGCGGUGGUAGAAUGUAGCAGCUGGGGACAGCAAGAUGGCUUAGCAGUAAGCCCUUAAGCUCUCUUCACAGCCAGUGAGGACCUUGUACUCCUGUCCCUCCUGCUCCCAUCUCCUGGCCUGGCUGAGAAUGAAACUCAGGGCCUCAGGAAUAAAAUCAAAGCCAGGUGUGACGGCAGAGAGCUUGCUGAAGGGAGAGGGGCACAGUUGGAGACCAGCCCAUGCUACACAGCAAAACUCCAUCUCAAAAGCAAAGCAAACAAGAACAAAUAAAUAAAAAAAAAUAAAAGAGUGGAGAACGAUCCCAGUAACUUUUCUUUCUCUAGCUCUCCUCCUCCCUCCCUCCCCACCCCAAAUUACAUAUAUAUUUGUUUUUUUUUUUUUUUGAGAUAGGGUAGGAUCUCUCUUGCUAUGCAGCCCAGACUGACUUCAAACCGUUGAUCCUUCUGCCUCCAACCCCUAAGUUCAGAUCCUAUAGGCACGUCAUGAUGCCUACCUGCAUCUCUUAUUUUCUGAAUCCAUCCCCCACUGAAAGGAAACAGGACUUCCUGAAGAAACAUCUUCUCCAAAGCCAAGGACAGUCACAUUAAAAGUGUACUUUGGCCCCAAAAUAAGAAAGUGCUCAAGGGGCUUGAGAAAUGGCUCAGUGGUUUCUUCUCUCCCAGAUAAACUGGGUUCAGUUCUCAGCACCCACAUCGAGAAGUUCACAGCCAUCUAUAACUCCAAUUCCAAGGGAUCCAACAUACUCUUCUGGCCUCUGUGGGAACUAUAAACUGUAUGUAUACCUAUGCAUGCUGACAAACACUCGUACACAUAAAAUUAAAAAUAAAGAUAUCUUUAAAAAGAAAAAGAAUGAGCUCAAAAAUGAUGGGAGAUGGUCAAAAAGGGACAUGGCAACUAGCUCAAAGAGUUUCCUGAGUCAAAUUUAGGACAAUUUGAGCAACAGAUGAGUCAUUAAAGUGAAGGCUUAUAAUCCACUGAUAUAUAGAUAUAUAAUGUAUAUAAUAUAAAUAUAUAAUAAUAUAUCUAGAUAGAUGGAUAGGUAGAUAGAUAGAUAGAUAGAUAGAUAGAUAGAUAGAUAGAUAGAUAGAUAGAUAGAUUAUUUGAACUGGGGAUAUGGCUCAAGUCGGUAGAGGGCUUUGCCUAGCAUACGUGUGGCCGUGAGUUUGAUUCCACGUUUGUGGGUAUAUAUGUUUAUGAGUGUGUGAGUGCGUUUGUAAUAUAUACUGAUUGCUAGUUUGACAUAGGAUUUCUUUAUGUAACCCAGAUUCUACACAGGUCUUUUUUCUUAUUUGAAACAGGGUCUCAUCAUGCCCGGACUUGGUGGAACUUGCUAUGUAGUUAAAUAUGACCUUAAACUCCCUGAUCCUCCUGCGUCCACCUCCUGAGUCCUGGGGUGACAAGUCCAAACCACCAUUCCUGGCUUAUGCGUUGCUGGGGAAGGAAAACAGGGCUCAUCCAUGCUAGACAAGCACUCUACAAACUAAGCCACAUUGUCAGCCAUGGGUUGGUGUUUUUUGUUUGUUUGUUUGUUUGUUUGUUUUGUGUGUGUGUGUGUGUGUGUGUGUGUGUGUGUGUGUGUGUGUGUGUGUGGUUUGUUUUGUUUUUUAAAAUUGGGCAAAUUAAAGGGCUCACUGGGUCAAAGUGCCACCCGAGCCUCAAGGCCUGAGCCCACUCCUUAGAACCCAGAAUGCAAAGAGAGACCUGACUUCUGAAAGGUGUUCUCUGACCUCCACGCUCCAACAGUGGAACAGUCACACCUGCAUUCAUGCAAGCACACAUACAAUAAUAAUGAUGACGACAAUGGAUAAAUAAAGCUAGUAAACAAACAAGGAAAAAGGUUCGUUUCAGUAGCAUACCCAUCUACACAUGUACAUGGAAUGGUACAAGAUAACACACACGUGACAACGCCAGUUGUAACAGCAGUUGCAAGUAGGAAUCACCGACAGGGGCUGGAGAGACUGCUCAGAGGAUUAGAGCAAGAGUGCUCUUUCAGAGGACCCCAGUUCAAUUCCCAGCACCCACAUGGCAGCUCAUAACAUCUGUAACUACAGAUCUAAGAGGUUCCAACACCUCUGGCUUCUGAGGUCACCUGCACUCACGCACACACAACCACACACGGAGAUUCACAUUAUUAAAAAUAAAUAUGUUUUUAAAUCACCAACAGAUAUUAAAUCAAAUGGUAGCAGAAUCUCCUCACUGAAUACCUACUAAUUACCAAGAGAUUAAAAGCAUCUUUCUCAGCUAGGGUUGUAGCUCAAUUGGUAGAGUGCUUGCCUAGGAUACACUAAAUCUUCGGUUCUGCCCCUAGCACCAAUAUUAACCAGGCAUGGUGGUGUGUGUCUGUCAUCCUAGUGAUAGUUUCUACACUAGGGAGGUAGAGGCAGGAGGAUCAGGAGUUCAAGGUCAUCCUUAAGUACAUAGUGAAUUUUAGCCCAUCCUGGGCUACUAUAUUAAACCCUGUCUCAAAAAACAAGCAAAGAAAAAAAAAAAAACCCACAUCAUUUAUUGUGAUUUCUUGACCCAGCAGGUACCACUUUGAGCAAGCUAGUUUCACUGAUACUGGGCAGACAGACUCCUUACACUAGGUGUUACAAAGUGAGUAAACCAUUACUUCCUUCCUAUGGUGUUCCCGCUGAGAAUGUAUGACCUGAAUCCACUGAGAAGGACAUCGUGGGGCUGUCCUCUGCAAUAAAAAUGUCAACAUGAAAGAGUAAAGGAAAAGUGACAGAACUUUAUAAAAGAUGAAGAGAGCCACUGGAGUACUCAGAGCUCCACAGAGAUGUGGUUUGGGAGUGCCGGGUCAUCCAUCCCAGCACUCUGGAAGAUGAUGAAAAAUGGCAAAUCAGAGGUGAGGCUUCCCAGGGUUCUGCAUGGCGCUGUCCUUCCUGUCACAGCCGCUAUCGGAGACUGGCAGCCAAGCCAUGGUAUGCACUAUCCCCCCUGCCCCCCACUCCCGGCCACCAAGCACAUCAAGUUGGUGGGGUACAUGAUGCGGGAGGUAUGCACCCUAUGAAGGGUGGCCACGGAGCAUCUCAAGGUGUCCAAGGACAAGAACACACUCAAGUUCAUCAAGAAAAGAGUGGGCACAUACAUUCGUGCCAAGAAGAUGCAAGAGGACCUAAGCAACGUGCUGGUGACCAUGAGGAAGGCGGCAGCCAAGAAGGACUGAUGCACCUGCCCCCCAUAAACGUUUGUGCGCGUACACACAAAAAAAAAAAGAAAGAAAAACGAAUCAGAGGCAGCGUGUCCUUAUGUGCAUUCUUUGAGCGGAUUUCCUGGGUGCACAGGAGGUUCUCAGAUACUUUGGUCUGAUCCAAGUUUCUAAAAAAUUGUCUAGUGAGGAAAAGGCUGUGUGUGUCUGCUAAAGAGAAAGUCUGAAGGCACAGCAAACGUGGGCAGUCUGGUUAGGAAAGAGAAAUGGAAAUAGAGGCCUGCCAUGGUGGAGACUGGAGAUACCAGAACCUGGCCCUGCUCCCUGAGGACUUGCAGGCAGAUAAUAGUUGCUAGGCGGAGAGAGAGAGACAUUUUCUUCAGUGACGUAAUCACUAGUAGGGAGGCCACUCCCAGGUAAAUAAUCCUUCAAAAAGGAUAUUGUGAGAAACCCUGAUGAAAUAUAUUAGGUCACCACAAAUAAACAAACAAACAAAUAAAUAACAACAUCAACAACAACAGAAAACAACGUGGGCUGGCAGGAUGGCUCACCAGUUAAAAGAGCUUGCCACCAAACUUGAUAAACUUCCAUGCAUGUGCCUUGGCACUAUGUAAAUGAAAAAGGAAAGUUAAACAAAAAAUAGAAAGCCUCUGCUUCCUGAAUGCUGGGAUCAAAAGUAUGCACCACCAUGUCCAGAUUAAAAAAGAAAGAAAGAAAGUAAAGUAAACAUGAAAAUAGAAAGAUAAUUAUCUGGUAAGACAGGUAUCAGGAGAUGGGAGAAGGGAACAAGAGGUGGUAAUAGGAGGUAAUUGUGACCAAAAUGCAUGAUAUACAUGCAUGAAAGUAUAUAUUUUAUAAUGGGUUGGCUGGGUGGUACACAACUUUAAUCCCAGCACUCAGGAGGUAGAGGCAGGUGGAGCUCUGUGAGUUCCAAGACAGCCAAGGACACACACACACACACACACACACACACACACACACACACACAUACACACACACACACACCCUAGAUCCCUCCUAAUGAGGACACAAGAAGAAGAGAAGGCGCAAGUUGAUUAAGGUCUGGGGAUACAGCUCAGCUGGUAGAGUGCUUGUCUAGCAUGUGACUGCAUGAUGCCCUGGAUUCAGUCCCCAGCGCUGCAUAAAACUAUAGUGGAGACUGGAAGAUCAGAAGUUCAAGGUCAUCCUUAGCUGUAUAAAGAGUCUGACCUCAGCCUUGGUUACAGGACAUCCUGAUUCAAAAACAACAAACAAACAAACAAAAAUGUUCCAAGUUCAAAGGUCCGUAUUCAUCCAAGAGGCCUCCUUUGGCCGCCUUUUAUGUUCUGAGUUUUGCCCUCAAACCCGAGAACAGCUGAGCCUGGCCGUGGUGGUGUUGCAAAGAGACCAGGUAAGCUGUGGAUGAUUGGCAGCUACACAAGAAGGCCGCUGAGCUGGAGGGAGAGUAUGAAAAGGAUGCUGUUCAUGGUGAGGGCUAGCCUGAUCUGAUGCAAGAAGGGGCAACAAAUAGAAGAAGGAAGAACCAGGGCAUGGUGGUUCCUGUCUCUAACCCCAGCUCUUGGAAGGCUGAAGCAGGAGGAUUGCUGUGAGUUGGAAGCCUUCUUGGGCAAUAGAAUGAGACUCUUAAACCUCUAAAAACGUAAAAAUAAAAAUAAUAGUGGGCUGCCGAGAUGACUCAGCAGGACUGCAGCCAAGCCUGAUGGCUUGACUUUGAUCCUCAAAACUCACAUGGUGGAAGCAGAGGACUGAUUCAAGCAAGCUGUCCUCUGACCGCCACUACGGUUUCAGCCGCUCCCUCCCUCCCUCCCUGACAGCUGUAUGUAAUUCUGCUCCAGAUCUUCGAUGAUGCUAGGCAGUAUACCAAGGUGAGAAGUCAGCUGAAGCUUCAUUUAUGCAGCUAUGGGCAAGUGGUCAUCCAUGCCAGGGUACAGCUGCUUUGGGGUCACCCACACUUCUACAGGUAACCCGUCACCCAUCCUCCUGUCAGUAAGCCAAUCAACAAAUUCACCAAGCUGGAAUUUGGUGCAGUAACUACUCUGGUUCUUUGUUGAUGACCUAUCUUGAGAGAAUAAACAUCUGUUAACAUCUGCCCAGGAGAAGUGAAUGCAAACAUUAUCUGAAGAGAUGCAACUCUGCCCUGAAGAAAAGGGCCACAAAGCUCAUAACAGCACUUUUUUUUUUCUUGAUGCCAAUCAUGUUUAACCCAAAUGCCAUAUAAGCCUCAAGUCCAGGCAUAACUUCCAGAUUCCAGGGGAGACGGAAAAAAAGGACUAUGCUAAGCAAGAAAACAGAUAAAAAUGCAGGGUGGGAGCUGGGUAGUGGUGGCACAAGCCUGUAAUCCCAGCACUCUGGAGGCAGAAGCAGGUGGGUCUCUGUGAGUUCGAGGCCAGCCUAGUCUACAGAGCAAGUUCCAGGACAGCCAGGUCUACACAGAGAGACUCUGUCUCAACAAAACAAAAAUGCAGGGUAGGGGGUGUUCUACAGAAACCCUGCCCUUCACUAUUCCAAGGGUGCUGCCUGGAUCAGGGAUCAAUUGUUGCAGGGAGGGAGAGAGAGAGAGAGAGAGAGAGAGAGAGAGAGAGAGAGAGAGAGAGAGAGAGAGAGAGACCAGACACUGCAUUUCCUAAUAGAACUUUAAUAGCCCCAUCUAUCACGUAACCCAGCCUGGCCUUGAACUGACUAUGUAGUAGCCAAGGAUGACCUUGAGUUCCCGAUCCUCCUGUCUUUAUCUCCUAAAUGGUGGGAUUACAGAUGUGUGCCCCACAAACUCAACUUUAGGAAGUACUCUUGACAAAACAAUAAGAAAUCAAACCCGUGCUUUCCCAAGCUUCUUCCAAAUUCUAGUUCACAAAGAUGGAUAGAUAAAUUCAACCAUAGCAUGGAAUGUCUUUAGAAGACCACAGAACAUGAGGAAUCUAUACCACAAACUGCCAUGUUUCUCCCCAAAAAAAACAAAAAAUAAAAACAAAUGAAGGAAAAGAAGGGGAGGAGGGAGGGAGGAGAGGAGGGAGAGCAUGAAGGAGGAGAAAGAGGGUGUCUAGGUAGAUCCUGAGGUAAAGAUGCUUGCUGCCAAGUUUGAUGACCCAAGUUCAAUCCCUAGAGCCCACAUGGGGAAGGAGAGAAUGGACUCUUACAGGUUGUCUUCUGACAUGUCCCCUACACAUGUCCCGUGGUGCACACCUGCACAGCCACAGAUAAAUAAAUGUAAUAAUAUUUUUUUAAAAGGAAAAAGAGAGACUGUCUGAGCGUAAAGGAGGCUUUGGAGAGCCAUCGGCUAAAUGCCCAUGUGUAAUUUACAUACACAUUUGCAACCCGCUCCCAGUAAAAAGGCAAUUUAUGAGACCAGUGUGGGGGGAAUGAACAGUAAGUAAAUAUUAGAUGGCAUUAACUUACUCUCUUUGGUUUGUUUGUUCGGGCUUCAUCGUGGUACCGUGGCUAGUGUGGCUGGCGUAAAUAAAAGAGUACUUCUUACUCGGAGACAUACUAAAAUUCGUGAGGACAAAAUGAGUUGCUGGUGUCUGAGGCUGGCUUUAAAAUAAGGCAGCAAAGUACGGAAGGGGGACAUGGCAGUGUCUGACUAAAAAAAGAUCCGCCAUAUGCUGGCAAUUGUUGGAACCGAAUGAAGGGUGCAUGGGAUUUCCUUAUACUAUUCUUUCCAAAUUUUAAAAGUAAAUGUUGGGGGGCGGGGCAGAAAAAGAGUGGCAGAGCCAGUAAAUACCAAAAAGACUUUAACAAAACAAAAUUCAAGAGGCUGGAUGAAGUCCUGGCUCUGAAGGGAAACCUAAAAAACACAGCCUCCCCACACACACACCAUUUUUUCUUUUUUCUUUUUUUUUUAUGCUGUUAAACACAGAGCCUCAAGUAGGCAUGCUCAGAACCCCUGAGCCACCGAGCCCUAGAAAAGAUAUUCUUUUUUCUUUCCACUUUUAUUUUAUUUGCAUUGGUGUUUUGCCUGUGUAUACAUUUGUUUGUUUGUGUGUGUGUGUGUGUGUGUGUGUGUGUGUGUGUGUGUGUGUCAAAUUUUAGGUGUGAUGUGUAUUGGCAUUGUACUCAUGCAAAAGAAUGUGUCCUUGUAAGAUCCCUAAAACUGCAUGUGUGAUACGUGUUUGUACGUGUUCAUGUUUCUGUGUGCUCAGACACAUGUAUGUGUGUGUGUGUGCAUGUGAGUGCCUGGGUGCAGGAGGUCAACACAAGACAUCUCCUUCAAUCUCUCUCCACCUUAGUUUGUUGAGACAGGGUCUCUCACUGAACUUAGAGAUCAAGAAUUAGAUUAGGCUGACUGGCCAGGGAGCCCCAGGAAUCCUCCUGUCUCCACUUCCUCAGUUCUGGGGUUUCAGACUGCCGAUGUGUGCUCCAAACAUGACUUGUAUGUGGGGGGUGGGGAUUAAACUCAGGACCUCACACUUGGGUGGCAAACCAGUGAGCCAUCUCCCCAGCCCCCUAACUUAAACAAGAAAAUGACACAAUAUCUACUAUUUAUUCUCUCUCUCACCACUCCUGCUUUGUUGAGACAGAGCCUCAGUCUAUACCCCGUUAGCCUUAAACUUGCAAUCUCCUUUGGGGGGACAAAGUUUCUGUAUGUAGCUCUGGCUGUCCUAGAACUCGCUCUGUAGACCAGGCUGGCCUUAAACUCACAGAGAUCCAUCUGCCUCCCCCUCCUAAGUGCUGGGAUUAAAGGCGUGCACCACCAUGUGUGUACUACCAUACCUGGCUCUAAAACUUAUUUUGAAAUGGUAAAGAAAAAUGUAUUGAUAAUCACAGCUACUCAGCAGACAGAGGCAGGAGGAUGCCAAGUGUAAGGUUUGCCUGAGCUAUAGAGAGAGUUCACACAAGGACCCCAUCACAUCCAAACUAUAAAAAUGAUUGGGAUGUAGCUCAGUGGUAGAACACUUGUUUGGCACAUGGGAGAUCCUGGGUUCAAUCCCCAGUGUUUUGGGGGGCAGAAGGUACAUGGUGUGUGGAGAGAAAGGAGGGAAGCUGGAGAGUUGGCUCAGCUGUGGAGGACAUUGGCCAUUCUUCCAGAGGACUCAAGUUCAGUUCUCAUUACCCGUGUCAGACAGCCACCUGUAACUCCAGUUUCAAGGGAUUUGACACCCUCUUCUGGCCCCCGUUGGCACUGCACCCAUAUGUGCGUGCGCGCACCAGCAUGAGGAGGCAGAAUAAAGGAAAAGAGAAAGAUGAAGGAGAGAAUGGAGAAAUAUCUAAAAGCUGGAUGGUUCAGAUAGGUGGAUAAAAUUAUUCCUUAUCUUUCAUUUUUCUCCCACCCGCCUUAUUCUAUUAAUUAAUCAGUUAAUUAAUUUUGUGAGCAGGGGAUGGAGGCACACCAUGGAAUGUGUGGGUCAGGGAAGAACAUGAAGGAAUUGGUUCCUUUCCUUCCGCCACGUUGGUCUGAAGGACAGAGCCAAGGUUGUGAGGCUGGCGGCAAGCAUCUGCACUUGCUGAGCCAUCUUACUGACCCCUAAAUGGUUCUCGCUAUUGCACUCAUCACUGCCUACACUGUAUCUGCUACUUUUUACUGUACAUUGUUCCCACCUCACUAGAAAGGUAUAUAAUCUCAUAAUGCUAGGAAGGAGCGCUUCAUCUUUUCUAUUGCAUUCCUAGGAUCUAACACAGUAUUCAGUACAUGCAAGAUGGUAGUGCACUGGCUGGUUUUGUGUGUCAACUUGACACAAGCUAGAGUCAUCAGAGGAAGGCGCCGAGCCUCCGUGGAGGAAACGCCUCUAUGAGAUCCAGUUGUAAGGCAUUUUCUCAGUUAGUGAUCAAUGGAGGAGUGUCCAGCCCAUGGUGGGUGGUGCCAUCCCUGGGUGCUGGUCCUGGGUUCUAUAAGAAAGCAGGCUGAGCAAGCCAUGGGAAGCAAGUCAAUAAGCAAUACCCCUCAAUGGCCUCUGCAUCAGUUUUUGUCUCCAGGAUCUUACCCUGCUUGAGUUCCUGUCCUGACUUACUUCAGUGAUGAACUGAAAUGUGGAAAUGUAAGUCAAAUAAACCCUUUCCUCCCCAACUUGUUUUUUGGUCAUGUGGUGUUUUGCCCCAGAAUAGAAACCCUAACUAAGACAAUUAUAUGGAACUUCUGGAGAAUUUCAUUAACUGGUCUAGUCUCCCUGCUACCCUGGAGUGAUGGAGAUUGAAUCUAGGGCCUCCAGAAUGCUAAGCAAGUGCCCUACCACUGAGCCACACCCCCAGCCUCUCUCUGUGAGAAUCUAGGCAGGGAUUCUACCACUGAGCCACACCUCAUCCCCUCACUGGAGAUUCUAGGCAGGUGCUCUACCAUUUAGCUAUGCCUCCAGCUCCUUAGUGGUAAGUUCUAGAUAGAGGCUCUAUCACUAAGCCCCACCCCCACCCCUCACUAGGGGAUUCUAGGAUGGGCUCUACUCCUAAAUCAUAUCCCUAAUCCCUCAUCUGGGCAUUCUAGACAAGAAGCAAUCUACAGCUGAGCUAUAACCAUAACCCUUUAAGUAUGUGUGUGUGUGUGUGUGUGUGUGUGUGUGUGUGUGUGUGUGUGUGUGUGUGUGUGUACAGGGGCUGGAGAGAUGGCUCAGAGGCUAAGAGCACUGGCUGCUCUUCCAAAGGACCUGGGUUCAAUUCCCAGUACCCACAUGGCAGCUCACAACUGUCUAUAACUCUGAUUCCAGGGGAUCUGGUGCCCUCACAUAGACCUACAUGUAGGCAAAACACCAAUGCACACAAAAUUAAAAAAUAAUAAUAAAGCAUUGCUUUAUUAAUUACUUAUGUGUGUGUCUGUGUGAAUGUAUGAGCGCUCGUGCAUGUGGUUACCCACCAGAAGAGGUCAUCAGACCCCCUGGAGUUGGAGUUACAGGCUAUGGUGAGCCAUCAGACAUCGGUGCUUAGAAUCAAACUCUGGUUCUCUGGCAGAGCAACAU